rnacentral:ncRNA from 2 species
AAAACCUUGAGGUUAAUUUAUAACAAAUAUUGUAAGAUGCUUUUGAAUGAUAUAUAAAGAAUUUUUUUAAAGUACGGGUUCCAUAUGAUAUUAAUCCUUGCCCGGACGAACUAACUAUCGGGUAUUGCUUUUUCGGGUUGGAUAGCCUAGAGUGAUAUCGGAUAGGAGCGUUGGUGUUCUUUGGUUGUUGGUCUAAGGCGAUCAGAAGUAUUCUGAGAACCUCGGAUCGACCAUCGAGGAACAUCAACCGUGUCAUUUCCGGUCAAUUACGAUCAGGGGUGUCACAGUCGGGGGCAUUCGUAUUUCAUAGUCAGAGGUGAAAUUCUUGGAUUUAUGAAAGACGAACAACUGUGAAAGCAUUUGCCAAGGAUGUUUUCAUUAAUCAAGAACGAAAGUUGGGGGCUCGAAGACGAUCAGAUACCGUCCUAGUAUCAACCAUAAACGAUGCCGACCAAUUACGUCACCCAUUACCACCAUGGCU